GGGAGCGCCCGUGCGUCCAUCGCGGCCUCAGGAAUGCGAGGUGCGAGUUGGAAUCCCAGCUCUGCCACUUCCCGGAGGGACCCCCAAGACGAAAUCAAGUGGAGUGUGUUUUAUGAACCAGCCAGAAAGCAAAGAGAAGCAUGUGGGAUCUUAGUUCCCUGACCAGGGAUCAAACUCGCGCCCCCUGCAGUGGAAGCUCGGAGUCAACCACUGGACGGCCAGGGAAGUCUCUGGCAGCUACUUCUUAGGUGUUGGCUUUCUGCAAUAUUGCUUGCUUUCUGUGGGGUCUUGGUCCAUGCCUAAAACAGAGGUUACUGUACCAUUUAG